AUAAGUCCUUGUUAUCUAUCUAUCUAUAUCUAUUAUAAUAAAGUAGGAUUGUCUAUCUCCUCCUGCGUCCACGUCAUCAAGGAAGAAGGAGCAUUUUUGGACAUGUGUCCUCUCUCUUUUACGUGAUCUUUGUAAUUGUUAUUUUAACUUUUUGGGCUACUAAUGUUUUUUUCGUUUAUGGGCUCUUCAUAGAUGGCCCAUCUCUUUCUAGGGUUUUUGCUUGCUGCGACCAGGACUCGGCUCCUUCUCCAAAUCUCUUCGUCUUCUAGAAACUCAGACCAUCACCUCUGUAACGUCAUCCGUUUGUGGCUUCGAUCUCAUCAUUUACUGCUUACCCAUUACUCAUUCCACUCUCUCUAAAUUAAACAUCGUCAUUAUCAUCAAAAGAGGCCGCCUGAGACUCUUCACUAUAAAAUGGUACCUUCUCAGAGAUGAAUAGCCACAGUUGUACGAGAUCUCUGCUUACGCGUUUAGUGACGUUACACAGAGCGAUAACAAAUUUCGGCUCUCUGAUGCCGGAAUUACAAUGGAAAGAUGUCUGGCUGCACCACCAUGGACCGUCGUAUGAUAUCCAAGCUUGACAGUACUUCUUGCUCUAUCUUGAAGAUCUCUUGUAAGUCUUUCUACAUUUAAUCUGCAUAAUUCUGCUUUCUCCGGGAUUUGAAACUCAGAUCUCAUGAUGUAGAAUUAUUAAUUAACCCUUAGUCAAACCACUGGAUCAAGGGAGCUUCAUCUCAUAGCUAUCUCAUUAAAAAGAUGUUUAGUGAGUUAUAGAUAAUACACAAAUAAGGAAAUCUAGAUAAGAUUAAGAAAUUUGGAUAAGUUUUUUGUUAUCAUAUUACAUUACAUGUAGAAUAAGAAAAUAGUUUAUAUAUAAAUAGUUAAUAUAAUUGUUCUAUAAGAAAACCAUAAAGAGUUUUAGUUUUGACUGAGUUUCUAAAAUGAUCAGAAAAUUGUUCUUAUAAUUUUGGGAAAUUACUCAAAAUGACUCAAAUUAUAUAUGUAAUGACUAGAAUAACUCUUAUAAUUUUGUAUCUACUAGAAUAACUCAUAAGGGAAACAAAAAUACCAAAAAACCAGUCUAAGCUGCCAUUAUAUUUUAUUAAUAGGAAUAAAUUUUAAUUGUGUAAAAGCAAAAAAAAAAAUAGAAGGUCGACUUCUCUUUCUCUUUCGCAGCCGCAUGGGACGACACCAAAGGAGAUUUUUUCUCCGACACUUCCAUCUCCGAUCUCCGACACCUCUUUCUCCAUCACCACCUUCGAAGGUCACGGCCGUAUAUCAAUUUCUAACACCCCAACCCCAUCUCGUCUUCCUGUUUGUUGUCGUCGACAAACCCUAACCCCACACCACCGAUUUAAGUCACCACCGCAUUCAACUCCCAGAAACUUGAAUCCAUACGGUAUUGGAUUAUGAGGCCAAGGUUAAGACACAUAGGAUCAAAUUCUCAAUUUUUCUCGUGUGGGUGAAACUGACUCAAGACAAGACAAGAGAAAGAGACUGAAACAUGCUCAAGACGGGAAAUGAUCAAGAGUGUGCUGAGAUGGGGAUUGACUGAUCUGAGUUUUUUUCUCUAUUGUAGUUGUGGGGCUUGUAACACUUAGCAUCUUGGAAUGAACGAAAGAAAUUAGAUACCUUGUUGUUCCCUAAAAGUUUAUUGGCAUUGUAAAGAGUUUAAAUUGUUGAUGUCAUCCACAUCCUCUUUUGAGCA